rnacentral:rRNA from 1 species
AUGAACCGGCGAGUUACGAUCUGAUGCAAGGUUAAGCAGAAAAUGUGGAGCCGUAGCGAAAGCGAGUCUGAAUAGGGCGAAUGAGUAUUUGGUCGUAGACCCGAAACCAGGUGAUCUACCCUUGGUCAGGUUGAAGUUCAGGUAACACUGAAUGGAGGACCGAACCGACUUACGUUGAAAAGUGAGCGGAUGAACUGAGGGUAGCGGAGAAAUUCCAAUCGAACUUGGAGAUAGCUGGUUCUCUCCGAAAUAGCUUUAGGGCUAGCCUCAAGUGAUGAUUAUUGGAGGUAGAGCACUGUUUGGACGAGGGGCCCCUCUCGGGUUACCGAAUUCAGACAAACUCCGAAUGCCAAAUAAUUUAACUUGGGAGUCAGAAUGUGGGUGAUAAGGUCCAUAUUCGAAAGGGAAACAGCCCAGACCACCAGCUAAGGUCCCAAAAUAUAUGUUAAGUGGAAAAGGAUGUGGCGUUGCCCAGACAACUAGGAUGUUGGCUUAGAAGCAGCCAUCAUUUAAAGAGUGCGUAAUAGCUCACUAGUCGAGUGACACUGCGCCGAAAAUGUACCGGGGCUAAACAUAU